rnacentral:rRNA from 1 species
UGAGGAAUAUUGGUCAAUGGGCGUAAGCCUGAACCAGCCAAGUCGCGUGAAGGAUGACUGCCCUAUGGGUUGUAAACUUCUUUUGUAAGGGGAGAAUAAAUUCUACGUGUAGGAUGAUGACAGUACCUUACGAAUAAGCAUCGGCUAACUACGUGCCAGCAGCCGCGAUAAUACGUAGGGAGCGAGCGUUAUCCGGAAUUAUUGGGUGUAAAGGGUGCGUAGACGGGAAUGUAAGUUAGUUGUGAAAUCCCUCGGCUUAACUGAGGAACUGCAACUAAAACUACAUUUCUUGAGUGCAGGAGAGGAAAGUGGAAUUCCUAGUGUAGCGGUGAAAUGCGUAGAUAUUAGGAGGAACACCAGUGGCGAAGGCGGCUUUCUGGACUGUAACUGACGUUGAGGCACGAAAGUGUGGGGAGCAAACA